rnacentral:rRNA from 1 species
UGGGGAAUAUUGCACAAUGGGCGAAAGCCUGAUGCAGCAACGCCGCGUGAGUGAUGAAGGUCUUCGGAUUGUAAAGCUCUGUCUUUUGGGACGAUAAUGACGGUACCAAAGGAGGAAGCCACGGCUAACUACGUGCCAGCAGCCGCGGUAAUACGUAGGUGGCGAGCGUUGUCCGGAUUUACUGGGCGUAAAGGGUGCGUAGGCGGUAUGUUUAAGUGAGAUGUGAAAUA